rnacentral:rRNA from 1 species
GACGAACGCUGGCGGCGUGCUUAACACAUGCAAGUCGAACGGGCCUGUCUUCUUUUUUGGGGGUGGGUUGAGUGGCGAACGGGUGAGUAUCACGUGAGUAACCUGCCCUUCGGUCCUGGAUAACCGCUUGAAAGGGCGGCUAAUACGGGGUGGUCCGGUUGGUCCGCAUGGGCUGGUCGGGAUAGAUUCACUGUUUUUGGUGUUUCGGCGGGGGAUGGGCUCGCGGCCUAUCAGCUUGUUGGUGGGGUGAUGGCCUACCAAGGCGGUGACGGGUAGCCGGGCUGAGAGGGUGGGCGGCCACACUGGGACUGAGAUACGGCCCAGACUCCUGCGGGAGGCAGCAGUGGGGGGUAUUGCACAAUGGGCGGAAGCCUGAUGCAGCGACGUCGCGUGAGGGAUGGAGGCCUUCGGGUUGUGAACCUCUGUUUCCGGUGGUGAAGGCCCUGUCCGUGUGGUGGGGUUGACGGUAGCCGGGGAUGAAGCGCCGGCUAACUACGUG